CUUUCCUAGCAUACAGGAAAGUAACCAGAUGUUCACUGUAGAGAUGGUUUGCUGUUUCUGUGCCUGUCAUGAAAAAGUAGCAAGUGGAUGAAGUCCAAGCUGCUCAUCACCUGAACAGAUUCCGGGGAAGGGUCCCGUCCAACUGAAGAAACUUCAAAGUUCACAUGUCACAGAGCCAGAAUCCCACAGCAUCCAUUUUUGGCCUCCAGGAACCCACAAGUUAAACUGCUAUCUUCAGUCUAGGACUGUGGUUGUGGGUCAGACCAGGAGGCUGGUGGGUACCAUCUGUUGUCCUCAGAGAGGUCAGAGCUUUGGAAUCCUCAGCUAAAACAGGAGCUAUCACAUAACUUCCAGAGAACUGUGGGUUCCUGCUCUUAGCCAUUGUUUCUCCUACCCUAGGAUGAUCAGGGAAGCGUUGAUUAUGGAAACAGACAGUGGGUAUUGAGUGAGGUUAAUGUUAGUUCAACUCUGUGGAUAAACUGUGUAAAGACAAGGAGAUUAAAGAAUCCAGCAGCAAAGAUAGACUGGACCCAAACCUCUGACGACAGGGCUGUGUGCUCAAGAGGGAGACAUGGAGGU
rnacentral:lncRNA from 1 species